rnacentral:rRNA from 1 species
AGUGAACGCUGGCGGUAGGCCUAACACAUGCAAGUCGAACGGCAGCACAGUAAGAGCUUGCUCUUACGGGUGGCGAGUGGCGGACGGGUGAGGAAUACAUCGGAAUCUACUUUUUCGUGGGGGAUAACGUAGGGAAACUUACGCUAAUACCGCAUACGACCUACGGGUGAAAGCAGUGGAUCUUCGGACCUUGCGCGAUUGAAUGAGCCGAUGUCGGAUUAGCUGGUUGGCGGGGUAAAGGCCCACCAAGGCGACGAUCCGUAGCUGGUCUGAGAGGAUGAUCAGCCACACUGGAACUGAGACACGGUCCAGACUCCUACGGGAGGCAGCAGUGGGGAAUAUUGGACAAUGGGCGCAAGCCUGAUCCAGCCAUACCGCGUGGGUGAAGAAGGCCUUCGGGUUGUAAAGCCCUUUUGUUGGGAAAGAAAAGCAGCAGGUUAAUACCCCGCUGUUCUGACGGUACCCAAAGAAUAAGCACCGGCUAACUUCGUG